rnacentral:misc_RNA from 1 species
AGUAAAGUCGUACAAGGUUUCCGUAGGUGAACCUGCGAAGGAUCAUUAAAAAAUAUCGCUCGAUUGAGAGUGAUUAAUAAUCAUCCUACCUUGUGAAUUGUUGUUUGUAAUAAUUUUUUUGAUUUUAAAAAAAAAAUUAUUUAUGUUUUGUCUAUCCUAAAAUUGGUUUGUUGUGAAAUGAAUCAAAUUUAGGGAAUAGGCUUUCAUAAAUAAGUUUUUUUUAAAGUCUUAAGACCUUUUUUAAAAUUAAACUUUUGUAUUCAUUUGUCUAAAUUUUUUUAAAUAAUUUAAAAACAACUUUUGACAAUGGAUCUCUUGGUUCUCGCAACGAUGAAGAACGCAGCAAAUGCGAUAAGUAAUGUGAAUUGCAGAAUACGUGAAUCAUCAAAUCUUCGAACGCAUAUUGCACUUUUUAGUUUACUAAAAAGUAUGUCUGUUUGAGUAUCAGUAAAUAUUCUCAUAAAACAUUUUUGUUUUAUGGUUAUGAGUGUUUUACAACGAUAAACGAGUUGUUUCACUUUAAAUUCAUUUUAAUUUAAGACCAUUUAUGGUUUUAAUAAAAAUUGGAUAAAAUUUUCCCGUAAAAGGAAUAAACUUUUCAGUUUUUAAUUAUUACCAACAACGGUCCGAUUUAAAGGAGAUUUAUUUAAUAACUUGAUCUCAAUCAGAUAAGAGUACCGCUGAACUUAAGCAUAUCAAUAACGGAGGAAAAGAAACUAACAAGGAUUCCCUUAGUAACGGCGAGUGAAGCGGAAGAGCUCAAAUUUGAAAUCUUCAAGGUUCUACCUUGACGAAUUGUAGUUAAAGAAGUGUUUUCUGUUAGAUGAGUAGCAAAAGUUCCUUGAAUGGACAUCAUAGAGGUGAGAAUCCGUAUUUGUUAUUCAUUCUAGCUUUGUGAUACACUUUCAAAGAGUCGGAUUGUUUGGGAUGCAGUCCAAAUGGUGGUAAAUUUCAUCUAAAGCUAAAUAUUGGCGAGAGACGAUAGCGAACAAGUACCGUGAGGAAAGAUGAAAGAACUUUGAAAAGAGAGUUAAACAGUACGUGAAAUUGUCAAAAGGGAAGCGUUGGACACCAGUGUUGUUUUUCCAAAAAUCAAUUACGAAUGGCUUGAUUUUGUGUUGUAUUGACCUUAUCAGCUUUCUGCACUUUUUUCGAGUCUUUCUUAAUGCACUUUUUGGUUAACAAGUCAACAUCAAUUCUUUU